CUGUUUCGUUUUCAACUAUACUGGACUACUUACUGAAGUCUGACAUUUUCAAGUUCACAAACUACAGCUAUAUCACAACCCUAUUAGGAUGCAUCUCUCUGCUGAGAAACACAUCGUUGACAAGUGACGGAGAUCCUCCAGCCUAGCCUGACCUGGCUCCAGCUGAAGCCUCCAGGGCAACAUCCUAACCAGAUCCCCACACCACCUCAACUGGCUGCUCUUAAUCCAGAAGUGUUGCCACUGUAUGCCCAGGCUCUCCCACAGCAGUGACAGAUGUGUUGUCAACACAUAUUUGAUAAGUCCAUUGAAACUGUUCGGUUACUAACUGUUGCACAUACAGUACAAUACAGUUGUCAGAAGACUGAAUUGCUUCAUCUUAAAAAGCAAAUAUUUCAGAAUGAACAGGAAGUACAGAAAAGGAAGUGUUCAUUUUGACCUUUAUUAUCUCAUUCAACAUAUAAUAAUUUAAAUACAUGUUUUCUUUAAAAAAAGGAAGAUGACCAAGGAAGAAUAUUUUUCAUAUCUCAACAUGAUGCAUUUAAGAAGAAUUAAAGACUGACCCCAUUUAAAACAUCACAAUAGUAUACUGUACAUUUACAGAAAACUAUACCUGCUACAAAUAAGCAAAAUUACAGCAAACUCACUAUUGGAACUUCCCAGCAGUGACAUUGUCAUUAGCAGCAAAUGAUCAAAUUAUCUUUACUUGCAUCAAAUAAAUAUCUUUCGUCUCUUGUA